rnacentral:lncRNA from 1 species
GACAACCUUAAGACUCAAAAGUUUGUGCAUCUCAUCAAGAGGAGGGGUAUACAGCAGGGCAAACAACCCCAUGCCUUCCUGACAUCCAGUUCCUGACUUUAGCAAGUGAUAAAGCCCCAUUACUUACCUCCGAUGCAUGCCUCUUCAUCUGCCAUGUCACUCAACAGCUAUCAGCUGGCUUGAACACCCAAAAAGAAAACUUCAAAGGUAG